AACGAACGCUGGCGGCAUGCCUAACACAUGCAAGUCGAACGAGACCUUCGGGCCUAGUGGCGCACGGGUGCGUAACGCGUGGGAACCUGCCCUUAGGUUCGGAAUAACUCCCCGAAAGGGGUGCUAAUACCGGAUAAUGUCUUCGGACCAAAGAUUUAUCGCCUUUGGAUGGGCCCGCGUUGGAUUAGCUAGUUGGUAGGGUAAAAGCCUACCAAGGCGACGAUCCAUAGCUGGUCGGAGAGGAUGACCAGCCACACUUGGACUGAGACACGGCCCAGACUGCUACGGGAGGCAGGAGUGGGGUAUAUUGGACGAUGGGCGAAGGCCUGAUCCAGCAAUGCCGGGUGAGUGAUGAAGGCGUUAGGGUUGUAAAGCUCUUUUACACGGGAUGAUAAUGACAGUACCGGGAGAAUAAGCACCGGCUAACUCCGUG
rnacentral:rRNA from 1 species